GCAAUAGUUUUCGAGACGGGGGACUCGAUGUUUACAAAUUUGAAGGACUGGUUCAAGAAGCUUUUAGCAUUAUGGGGAGUUUCUCUGCAUCUGACUUCUUUCCUCGUGUUGGUUGGAUCAUAGAUAGGAUUACAGGAAUGCAUGGAAGGCUUGAAAGGAUUUUCCAUGAUCUGGAUCUUUUCUACCAAGAGGUUAUAGAUGACCACCUGAGUUCAGAGAGGCACAAGCAAGAAAAAGAUGAGGAUAUAAUUGAUGUUUUGCUGAAAAUAAAGAAAAAUCAAGCCGACUCUUCUGCUUUCCAAAUCACCCAUGAUCAUAUUAAGGCAAUCCUUAUGGUAAGGCAUUAAUCUGUUCUUUAUAUUUGAUGCAUUCUAAUUAAAAUUCCAUCAACAUAUUAUAUAAGGAGAAUUAUAAUAUAUAAUUUGGUAAAAACAAAUACCCAUAGAUUUCAUAAUCACAAUGAUUAAGUGUGUGGAUAUUUGUUUUUGAAUAUUUUUCACUUGGGAAUUAUAUUGGAUACAUAUUGAUGGGUAGAUUUUACAUAGGACCAGCAAACCAGAGAUUUUCAACUUAUAGAUGAGUGUACUUCUUACUUAGUUUUAAGGAAAAAAUCAAGUUUGUUACCUCGGUGUAAAAAUUAUUAAGAUAUUUACACUAUUGCAUAUCUUUUCACAUAAUUUUAUCAAUUUCAAUACAUUAGCCAGAUUUCAUACUCGAUUUUUAACAGAAGUAGGAAUUUUAUAUGGCUUCAUUAAUCAUACCUGCUCCCAGAAUAUAUUUUUCGCUGGAGUUGAGAC
rnacentral:lncRNA from 1 species